AGAGGGAUAGCUGGGUCAAAUGGUGGUUCCAUUCCCAGAUUUCCAAGGAAUCUCCAUACUGCUUUCCAUAUUGGCUGUACCAAUUUGCAGUCCCACCAGCAAU
rnacentral:pre_miRNA from 1 species